rnacentral:rRNA from 1 species
GACGAACCGUGCAAACGUUGUUCGGAAUCACUGGGCUUAAAGAGCGCGCAGGCGGUCGUUCAAGUCGCGUGUGAAAGCCCCCGGCUCAACUGGGGAGGGUCACGCGAUACUGAUCGACUCGAAGGCAGGAGAGGGAAGUGGAAUUCCCGGUGUAGUGGUGAAAUGCGUAGAUAUCGGGAGGAACACCAGUGGCGAAGGCGACUUCCUGGCCUGUUCUUGACGCUGAGGCGCGAAAGCUGGGGUAGCAAACGGG